rnacentral:sRNA from 1 species
GUUUUUUUCUUCGAUCAUUUUUGU